rnacentral:rRNA from 1 species
UUAAAUUUUUGAAGUUAUUUUAGCUUUUUUGUUGGGUGAAAUCAGUAUAAAGAGUUUUUCUUUCUUUAAAAAUUAAUAGGAAUUAAAAAACUCUGAUUUAAAACCAGGAUUAGAUACCCUGUUAUUCUGAGUUAUAUUUAGACAGGGUAGUAAAAGUUGUUCUUCAAACCCAAAGAUUUUGGCGGCACUUUAUCCAAAUAGAGGAGCUUGUCCCUUAAUCGAUAGUCCCCGUUUUAUCUUUCCUCUGUUUGUAGAGCUUGUAUACCGCCGUUGUCAGAUCACUUCUAGAGAAUGUUUUCAAAUUAAAAGAUUUUUUUACUUCAGGUCAAGGUGCAGUUUAUAUAGAGGUGGAGGUGAGCUACAAUUUUCUUUACAAAUAUGGAUACUAAGCCUCGAAGCUGGUUGAAGGUGGAUUUAUUAGUAAAGUAAUUUAAGUAAA